rnacentral:tRNA from 1 species
GCCCUAGUAGCUCAGUAAUUUAGAGCACUAGCCUUGUAAGCUAGAGGUCGGAGGCUAAAUUCCUCCCUAGUGCU